UACGAAGGGGGCUAGCGUUGUUCGGAAUCACUGGGCGUAAAGGGUGCGUAGGCGGGUUCUUAAGUCAGAGGUGAAAUCCUGGAGCUCAACUCCAGAACUGCCUUUGAUACUGAGAGUCUUGAGUAUGACAGAGGUGAGUGGAACUGCGAGUGUAGAGGUGAAAUUCGUAGAUAUUCGCAAGAACACCCGUGGCUAAGGCGGCUCUCUAGUACGGUACUGACGCUGAGACGCGAAAGCGUGGGGAGCGAACAGG
rnacentral:rRNA from 1 species